AGAAGGCAACAGAUUCGAUGGUGCUUCCAUUUGGCCUUCCAAAAUACUUAAGUUAAUUCCACUUAUUUCCAUGUCCUCA